rnacentral:rRNA from 1 species
UACGUAGGUGUCGAGCGUUGUCCGGAUUUAUUGGGCGUAAAGAGCCCGCAGGCGGCUUGGCAAGUUUGAGGUGAAAUCUCCCGGCUCAACUGGGAGGGUGCCUUGAAAACUGUUAGGCUUGAGGCAGGGAGAGGGAUGUGGAAUUCCACGUGUAGCAGUGAAAUGCGUAGAGAUGUGGAGGAAUACCGAUGGCGAAGGCAGCCCCCUGGGCUAACACUGACGCUCAUGCACGAAAGCGUGGGGAGCAAACAGG